UUAUCUAAUAGACAUGAGUGGAAGUGUGAUGAGUGAAGAUAGGAUUAGUGUGCUAAGGUGGUAGGGAACCAAGCUUUAAUCAUGAAUAAUGCUUUGUCCUUAAUCAUUCUUCCAUUGCAAGACAAAGCUCAUCACUUCACUCCCUCACACUUCAACUCUCGGUCACCUCCAAAAAUCCCUCUCUUCCAAUUUUGCUCCAAAAGAUCGCCAUAGAUUAAUCACCAAAGCUUCCAAGUUCACUUCAAGAUCAAAUCCUCCACCAAAUCAACAUAAACACCUUUCAAUUCUUGAAGAUUUCAAGAGGACCGUGGGGUUUGGUUUGAAGAGUGAGAAAGGAAAACUUUGAUCUUUGUUUAAUCUUGGGGUCCGGGCGACAGGAAAUGAAGCCGAAGAAGAAGCGACUCCACGCUAGCUUAAGAACGUUUGAGGUUGAGCAGCUGAUGGAAUGGAAUGGCGUUGAGCGGGUGUUCCUUUGACAUUUCAAGAAAUGUAACCUUGAGUAUACAUCUUCAUAUGUAUAUCUCACACGUUUUCCGCUGCAAAACACUUUGAUUAAGAUAGCUCUAUGUUAUGAAGUUGUGACACGUGUUAUUGGGUAACCCACCUUAAUCAGUUCUCCUUUAUGUGUAUGUUUUAUAAGUAUCCAAAUAAUCAUAUAUGAUCAUAGCAUUUUAUUUAUGAGUGACAUUUUCAUAUACUUUAAUGUUAAGUAAUUGUCCAUUUCCA